rnacentral:tRNA from 1 species
UGUAUGUAAUUUAAAAAAAAUAUCAAGCUGUGACCCUGACAAUAGGAAUUUCCUCAUAUAG